CUUGAACUUUAUAAGAGGUCCAGCCUGCCCAGUGACUCUGUUCAACGGCCGCGGUAUCCUAACCGUGCGAAGGUAGCGUAAUCACUUGUUCUUUAAAUGUGGACUAGUAUGAAUGGCACUACGAAGGUUAUACUGUCUCCUUUUUCUAAUCAGUGAAACUAAUUUUCCCGUGAAGAAGCGGGAAUACAACUAUAAGACGAGAAGACCCUAUGGAGCUUUAAACAACCUAGCAAUUACUUCUAAAAUUAUAAAUUUCAGAAUACUCAUUUUUUUAAGCAAUAUGUCUGCAAGUUUUUGGUUGGGGUGACCAUGGAGAAUAACACAACCUCCAUAUUGAAUGAAUUUUUAUUCUAAGCUAAGAAUUACUAAUUAAAGCAUCAACACACUGACAUUUAUUGACCCAAUAUAUUUGAUCAACGAAC
rnacentral:rRNA from 1 species